UUUUAAAUAGGUGCCAAGAUAAUGAGGCAAAGUCUUGUCUUCAACUCAAUGGCAUUUCUCUGUGUGUGUCAUGUGAUACCUUUGAAACACUGUCUUCUGUAUGGAAGGAUCAGAAGGCUGGCCUAGAAAAAGGGGAGAAUGUGUGCCCACAUCCUUCUUGACAAGGGAGAGCACUGGAAUUGCAAGAAAUCUCUGAAUUAAGAGAGAUGGCAAAAAAAAAAAAGGAAAAAAAAACAAAUGUAGACAGAGCCAAGUAAGAGUGAAAUAAAAAAUGAAUCAAGAGAAGCCUGUGUGUAAAGAAGCAAAGAGGGAAAAUGAAAAUUUUAAUGCAACUGGCACUGGAGACAUAUCCCAAUGAAGCCCCUCAGAAGACUGGCAUGCUGAAAAAUGCACAGUACUGGGAAAAGGUAAGGAGAACCAGAUUCUCAACACAGUCCAGCACUUUGGAGGAGUUUGCAAGAGUCUAUCCCAGCUGGAGCUUGUACGCUCAGCCUGCAGUAAAUCAUGAG
rnacentral:lncRNA from 1 species